GCAAUCCUAUAAGCUGAGAUGUGAUGCGGACCGAAAUUUCAGUAGGGAGGCGAGUGAGUUCACGCUGGCGAGAAAAGCUGCUAGUACAUCCAAAGGUACCCGUACCGGAAACCGACGCAGGUGGGCGAGGAGAGAAUCCUGAGACGAACGGGAGAACCCUUGUUAAGGAACUCGGCAAAAUGACCCCGUAACUUCGGGAUAAGGGGUGCCUGCGAGAGCAGGCCGCAGAGAAUAGUCACAAGCGACUGUUUAGCAAAAACACAGGUAUCUGCGAAAGCGAGAGCUGACGUAUAGGUGCUGACACCUGCUCGGUGCUGGAAGGUUAAGGGAACAUGUUAGAGCAAUCGAAGCAUCGAACCGAAGCCCCAGUAAACGGCGGCCGUAACGAUAACGGUCCUAAGGUAGCGAAAUUCCUUGUCGGGUAAGUUCCGACCCGCACGAAUGGUGUAACGACUUGUGAGCUGUCUCAACAGGGGGCCCGGUGAAAUUGAAGUAUGGGUGAAGAUGCCCAUUACCCGCGACUGGACGGAAAGACCCCGUAGAGCUUUACUGCAGCCUGAUAUUGAGUUUCGGUAACUGAUGCACAGGAUAGGUGGGAGUCUGAGAGACAUGGGUUUCGGCUCAUGUGGAGACGGUGUUGGGAUACCACUCUUCGGUUACUGAAAUUCUAACAUAGCUCUGUGAAACCAGAGGAUGGACAGUGUCAGGUGGACAGUUUGACUGGGGCGGUCGCCUCCGAAAGAGUAACGGAGGCGCCCAAAGGUACCCUCAGAAUGGAUGGAAACCAUUCGAAGAGCGCAAAGGCAGAAGGGUGCCUGACUGCGAGAUUGACAAAUCGAGCAGAGACGAAAGUCGGGCUUAGUGAUCCGGCGGUAUUGAGUGGAAAAGCCGUCGCUUAACGGAUAAAAGCUACCUCGGGGAUAACAGGCUGAUCUCCCCCAAGAGUCCACAUCGACGGGGAGGUUUGGCACCUCGAUGUCGGCUCGUCGCAUCCUGGGGCUGAAGCAGGUCCCAAGGGUUUGGCUGUUCGCCAAUUAAAGCGGCACGCGAGCUGGGUCAGAACGUCGUGAGACAGUUCGGUCCCUAUCCAUCGUGGGCGUAGGAGUCAUGAGAGGAGCUGUUCCUAGUACGAGAGGACCGGAAUGACGCACCACUGGUGCAACUGUUGUCGUGCCAACGGCAUAGCAGGGAAGCGAAGUGCGGAUGGGAUAAACGCUGAAGGCAUCUAAGCGUGAAGCCCACCUCAAGAAUAAGACUCCACAAUAGACCCCUGGAGGACUACCAGGUAGAUAGGUCAUCGGUGGAAGCGCUGUAAGGCGUGUAGCUUGAUGAUACUAAUCGGUCGAAAGCUUC
rnacentral:rRNA from 1 species